rnacentral:RNase_P_RNA from 1 species
AUAGCAAGCCGGUUUGUCGCCUUAUUUUAUUGAUAAGGAGGAAAGUCCGGGCAACAAAGAGCACCAUAUUUCUUAACGGGAAGCUGUUCGCGAGAGCAGAGUAGUGUAACAGAAAAUAACCGCUCCAUAAACACUUUAGCUUUGUUUCCUCUCCGUAUGGAAAGGAAAUCAAGAGCUUGUGAAUUUGGAGUAAGGGUGAAAAGGUGGGGUAAAAGCCCACCGGUACUAUUGGUGACAAUGGUAGCCGUACACCUUAUGGGUUGCAAGAUCAUGUAUACCGGCGUAUGUAGGAUGGCUCGUCCGAUGCCGGGGGGUAGAUUGCUGGAGACACAGGGCGACUUGUGUACUAGAUAAAUGACAAACACUUUGUUUCGGCAAAGAACAGAACCCGGCUUACAGGCUUGCUGUUUUU